CAAGAUGAGAUUUCCCAACUUCGGUUAUAAGAUCCCUCAAAGAUGAUGAGGUUAAUAGGUUCGAGGUGGAAGCAUGGUGACAUGUGGAGCUGACGAAUACUAAUCGAUCGAAGACUUAAUCAA
rnacentral:rRNA from 1 species